rnacentral:hammerhead_ribozyme from 1 species
GUACUGCUGAGGAGUCCCACACUAGGACGAGACGGCCGUCCAGUGU